UACGGGGGGGGGCAAGCGUUGUUCGGAAUUACUGGGCGUAAAGGGCUCGUAGGCGGCCAACUAAGUCAGACGUGAAAUCCCUCGGCUUAACCGGGGAACUGCGUCUGAUACUGGAUGGCUUGAGAUUGGGAGAGGGAUGCGGAAUUCCAGGUGUAGCGGUGAAAUGCGUAGAUAUCUGGAGGAACACCGGUGGCGAAGGCGACGUCCUGGACCGGCAUUGACGCUGAGGCGCGAAAGCCAGGGGAGCAAACGGG
rnacentral:rRNA from 1 species